GUCUCCAGCCACACGGUUCAGCCACACCAACGGGUUGUGAUCUGUGAGCAAAGAAAAGGGUUGCCCAUAGAGAUACGGUUGUAACUUUUGCAGGGCCCACACCACGGCCAGGCAUUCAUUUUCGAUGGUGGCGUAGCUCACUUCUCGGGGUAACAAUUUCCGGCUCAAAUAUGCUACGGGAUGUUCUCCACCAUCUGCUCCGACCUGGCUCAGUACUGCUCCCAAUCCAAACAUUGAGGCGUCUGUGUGGACAAGAAAACGUUUAGUUGGAUCAGGAGCAGCAAGUACAGGAGCAUUGGUCAGAGCCGUCUUCAGUUGGUUAAAUGCCUGUUCACACUCUGGGGCCCAGAUGACCUGUCUGGGCAGGUUUUUCUUCGUCAAGUCAGUCAGGGGCUUGGCCAGGGCACUGUAAUUGGGCACAAACUUCCUAUAAUACCCGGCGGUACCUAAGAAGGCAAGGACUUGGGUUUUAGUCCUAGGGGUGGGCCACUUGGCUACGGCUUCAAUCUUUGCGGGCUCAGGCUUCUGUUGCCCGCUCCCCACUCGGUGUCCUAAGUAUUGCACCUCCGCCAUCCCUAUGUGGCACUUGCUUGGUUUUAAGGUAAGCCCUGCCUCUCCAAUCCGAUCUAUCACGGCCCCUAUGUGUUGUAGAUGAUCAGCCCAGGUCUGGCUGUAGAUGGCAAUAUCGUCCAGGUAUGAUCCAGUAGCCGAUCCACCAUCCGAUGGAAUGUCGCGGGGGCGUUCUUCAUCCCGAAUGGCAUGACUCGAAAUUGGUACAAGCCAAACGGGGUGACAAACGCCGACUUGGGGAUGGCAUCCUCGGCUAGUGGAAUUUGCCAGUAUCCCUUACAGAGAUCUAUUGUAGUGAGAUACUGACCUCUGGCCAUCUUAUCUAGCAGUUCGUCUAUCCGGGGCAUCAGGUAAGCGUCCGACACGGUUUUGUUGUUCAGCCUCCGGUAGUCCACACAAAAUCGGGUGGUACUGUCUUUCUUGGGAACCAGGACUACCGGCG